rnacentral:rRNA from 1 species
CAGUCGCCGCGGUAAUACGGAGGGUGCGAGCGUUAAUCGGAAUAACUGGGCGUAAAGGGCACGCAGGCGGUGACUUAAGUGAGGUGUGAAAGCCCCGGGCUUAACCUGGGAAUUGCAUUUCAUACUGGGUCGCUAGAGUACUUUAGGGAGGGGUAGAAUUCCACGUGUAGCGGUGAAAUGCGUAGAGAUGUGGAGGAAUACCGAAGGCGAAGGCAGCCCCUUGGGAAUGUACUGACGCUCAUGUGCGAAAGCGUGGGGAGCAAACAGGAUUAGAUACCCGCGUAGUCCCUGUCUCUUAUAC